AGUCGAAUAAUAUUCGUAUUGCGAAAAGCCCUGAUAGUUCGGAUAGGCGAAAAUAACUCUAGCACUGCAUCGCUACUUUCAGACUCUCCAUCUCUCUCUCUUCACGUUCUUCUUCUAAUUACCUGAACCGCUGACGUCACCAUGUUCCCGCCGAAAAUUUCGCGACCUACUCCUCCGGAAGAUUCGCCGCCGGCGAACGUGAUCGUGGCCGUGAAAGCGGAGAAAGUGAUCUCCAGGACCGCCUUAGCCUGGACUCUCACUCACGUGGUUCGCUCCGGCGAUUGCAUUAUUUUGUUAGCUGUUUUUCCCGCCCAAAAAACCGGGAGAAAGUUUUGGAGUUUUCCGAAGUUGAGAGGAGAUAACCGGAAUGAUGACAAGUCGAAAUUGCCAGAUCAAGUGCUCCAGAUCUCGGAGUCUUGCUCGCAGAUGGUGCUUCAGUUUCGUGAUCAAAUCGAGGUCAUAGUCCGGAUUAAGGUGGUAUUAGGUACACCUUCUGGUGUUGUGGCAGCUGAAGCAAAAAGAAAUGAAGCCACCUGGGUCAUAUUGGACAAGAAAUUGAAGCAAGAGCGUGCACACUGUAUUGAGGAACUACAGUGCAACAUCGUAGUAAUGAAGGGUUCUCAACCAAAAGUUGUUAGACUCAAUUUGGCGUCCUCAGAUGAUAUUCAAACACCUUUCAUUUCUGCUUCUUCAUCGCCAGAUUCUUCAAUGUUGCAAGGCUACAGGAAGAGGCAUUCUACUCCUUCAAGCAGUCCUGAGGAACCACGUACCUCAUACACAAGGUCGUCAGGAGAAAUUUCAGUAUCAAGUACAGACACGAUGGCUUACUUUGUCUAUGAACAAAAUCCUCUUUUUGAAAGACCAUAUAAAGUAAAGCAUGCACAAUUAAGAAUGAAUGAGUCAGAAAGUCCUCAUACUACAGUCUAUUCUGCGGAGGAAAGGGUGAUAGCUCUCUCUACUGCCCAAAAGUCAUACAUAAACGGUACUCCUAAGAAAGUUAUAUGGAUUCCUCAAAACCAUGUUAUUGAUCAGCAAGAGCCAAGAAUAAAAUUAUCCAGAAACUACCCCCAAACCGGACCUGCUAAUAAUAAAGUUGAACUUCAUAAACAUUUUCAAUUUAAUCAAGAUGCAAGUGUAGCACGAGCUAAGCUCCAACAGACUCAAGACCACGUAGAUAUCAGUAGCAUUAGAGAAGCAGUCUCUUUAGCUAGAACUUUCUCAACACCUCCUCCUUUGUGUUCAUUAUGCCAACACAAGGCACCAGCUUUUGGAAAACCUCCAAUACGGUUUCAUUAUGAGGAGUUGCAAGAAGCAACAAGCGGGUUCUCAGAGUUGAAUUUCUUGGCAGAAGGUGUGUUUGGCUUGGUCCAUAAAGGAAUACUAAAGAAUGGACAGGUGGUUGCAAUCAAGCAGCUAAAGUUUUCGAGGUCUCAAGAAGAUGCCGAUUUCUGCAAGGAAGUGAGGAUGUUAAAUUGUGCACAACAUAGGAAUGUUGUGCUGCUGGUCGGGUUCUGUAUUCAAGGAAAAAGAAGAGCACUGGUAUAUGAGUACAUAUGCAACAACUCACUGGACUUUCAUUUGCAUGAAAACAAAAAAAUGCCACUGCAAUGGCAUACACGUCUAAAAAUAGCUAGUGGGACGGCAAGAGGCUUACGAUAUCUACAUGAAGAUUGCAGAGUGGGUUGUAUAGCUCAUAGAGACAUGCGACCUAGCAACAUACUUUUGACUCACAACUUUGAACCAUUGGUUGCUGAUGUUGGAGUUCUGAGACUGCAUACCGAAUUGGAUAUUUUCUGCGAGGAGCAAAACAUUGAAACUUUACGGUACCUUGCACCAGAGUACUUUAACGGUGGAAAUAUUACAGAGAAAGCUGACAUAUAUGCAUUUGGAUUGGUACUAUUAGAGCUAAUUACUGGUCAAAGAACCGUGGAGUUGCAAUGCUACAAGGGUGAACACCACUCAUGUUCGGAAAAAAUUUACCCUCUACCCUCUUUGGAAGUAGUCAAUCUUUUCACAAAUAUACAUCAACUUCUGGACCCAUCCUUACACUCUCAUCAACAUGGUGACUUGCCCAGUGAAGUGCAAGCAAUGGGUCAGGCUGCGUUCCUGUGUCUACGACAAGAUCCAGAAUCAAGACCUCCAAUGUCAAAGAUCCUCAGAGUACUAGAAGGUGGAGAAGCAGUUAUGCCUCUGGGGUUGGAUUUGCAGUCAGUCGGUACUAGAAGUGCACACAUGAGUAGUCUAAUAUCAAACACGCAACCGAAAUCAAGAAUGUCACAUUCGCGGCAGCUUUCUCAGUGAUAUAUGCAGAAAUUUUGAUUGAUGAGUACUUAUUCAAGUCAAUGCAUAGCAUUAUAGAGUUUUAUAAGUUUUGUCUGCAACGGAACUCGUAGCGCAAGAAGGUCCUCCAAUAGUUUACCAAACAGUAGUGCUACAUAAUCCAAAAAAAAUUCCCAAAAUUAGUCCCGUAUGACAUGGUGUCGGUGUCGGUGUCGGUGACGUGACAAUUUAGAGGCUUUUGAUUGGCGUUAUCGAUACGAAUGCAGGGCAGCCAUUGUUAUUUGAGGAGAACAUGUGGCGUCUGGGGGAUAUAUUUCGGGAUUAAAUUUGAUUGUUCUGACAUUUCCCUUACCGAUAUUACAGAGUAACAUUUUAUGUAAAAGUUUCGUGUACCAUCAUUUCAAAUUAGGUGACAACAUUACAAAGAAACAUCAAUCCUGCUUGAUUACCUUGGAGAA